rnacentral:rRNA from 1 species
UACAGAGGGUGCGAGCGUUGUUCGGAUUCAUUGGGCGUAAAGGGUGCGUAGGUGGCGCGCUAAGUCAGGUGUGAAAUUUCGGAGCUUAACUCCGAAACUGCAUUUGAUACUGGCGUGCUUGAGGACUGGAGAGGAGACUGGAAUUCAUGGUGUAGCAGUGAAAUGCGUAGAGAUCAUAAGGAAGACCAGUGGCGAAGGCGGGUCUCUGGACAGUUCCUGACGCUGAGGCACGAAGGUCAGGGGAGCAAACGGG